AUGCAUUGUUACUGACUUUAAAUAAAUAAGAAUUAAUCAAAAGGAAAUCAGUUCUUUCCCUUGCACCGGAGACUUUUCGUCGGGCAGCGUACAGAUGCUAUGCUAAUUGGCAGUUUUUUUGUGAUGAACUACACAAGCAUUAUUUUACAAUUAGCUGUAAGUGGUCAUUUUAAGUAUUGAUGCAUCAAAAUCCAAAGACUAUUUUCGAGGUCAAUAUUCUUUUUCCCUUAUUUUGGCAUUGUUGUGUUGGUUAGCAUAGUUGUAAGAAAUUAUUGUAUUGUAUAUGAUGGGUUUUCCUUGGAAUAUAGGACAUUGUUAAGGAGAGUGGGUUUCUUAGUGAUGAUUCCAAGAAUAUAGAGGAAAUGAUAGUUCAACAAUUGAGAAUGAAACUGACGUCAAUAUUAUGUUCUUCUGGCUAAAAUGUAUUUAAUUUAUUUUUCCAGUAUCAUAUGGUUGUUUGCGUGUUUAAGGGGGGUGGGAAUUUCCAAUUUUCUGCAAUAUGAAUUCAUUUUUUUUUCUCUUUUUUCUUUUUUAAUUUCAGGGAGAUAAUCUUGAGAAUUUUUACCCAAAUUCCGAUGGAAUUUUCAUGAGCUAAGAGGAAGAACAAAGGUAAUCCCUUCUCUUUCCAAUAUUAUUAUGAUUUAUUUGUUGUUUUAUCAAUACAUUCAUUAUUUUGUUUUUUACAUUGUACAUUCUUUUGGAUUCUUUUUAAAAUAAGUGGACUCGUUUUAUCAAUGAACGUGCAACGCACGUUGGUCACACUAGUACUAGACAAAAAUUCAAUUGUUGGUUGACUAUAACGCUUGUGCAUGCAACAGAUAUAAAUUAAACUUAGAGAAAGAGAUUGUACAAAAGAAAGAUCCAAACCUAAUGAAUUCACUCUAUUUCUUUAAGAAAAUAUUGCUCUCCUGAAGUCUCCGCCCAAUUACCUCUCAAGAGAGAAUAUAUUUUGUUCUAAAUGACUUAACACCGUCAUCACAAAAAUAAUCGGCGAACUAAACUUUUAAUUUGCUGCUGAAAUGGGUUGCUGCAUUUUUAGUCCAACUGAUAUACGGGUCCAGUAAGCUGUUUAUGAGCCCAAUUAACUGGUUUUUGAUCCAAUAAAUGGAUGAUUCUGGAAUGGACGUGUUUUCUUUCUUGAUACAUAGUGACACUUGGAAUGCUGUGGAUCGUCAGAUAUGACUUUUGGGCUUAUCUCAUAUAAAAAGGGGCUUUACGUUCAUUUUAGGGUUUAUCUCUUAAUUUGUUUUGUUCUUUUUGUCCUUGUGUUCUCUCUCUAUGUGUGUAUAAUUGGUCAUUAACUAGAUAAUCCCACUGAGUGAUUUUUGAGUGAAAUUGCUAUGUUUGAGAGAGAGUCUUAGCAACACAUAUUCUUUGUGAGUGUUUGCUGAAAAGAAAGUUGAAGAGAUUAGGGGUUUUCCUUGAAAUUCUACUGUAUUUGUAUUGUACUCAUCUCUUGCCCGUGUUGAGGGCUUUAUAAUGGAUUCGAGCAAUAUCAUUAGGGAUGCUCGACGUGGGACAAAGCAUUAGAAGUGGUCGCUGAACCUCUGAGCCUUUGGCCAAAAAAUCUUGUGUUCUUGUUAUUUUGAAGCAUUUUUAACCUUUGUUUGAGUCCAAUUCUUUCUCAAAAAUGUAUUUUUAAACAGCAUUUUGAUAUCAUUCUAACCACACAUUCUUCAAUAAAAUAAUAUUAUACGUAAAUUGAAAAAUUUUCCUUAUUUUUUAAUAACACAUUUCACUUCAAUACACUAUUCAAACAAAC
rnacentral:lncRNA from 1 species